CCUCACCGUCCGAGAUGCUGGGAGCUGGUGGCUAGCUGUGCCUGGAGCUGGGAGAUUCAUCAAGUACUUUGUUAAAGGGCGCCAGGCUGUCCUUAGCAUGGUCCGGAAGGCAAAGUACCGGGAACUGCUCCUAUCAGAGCUCCUGGGCCGGCGGGCGCCUGUCGUGGUGCGGCUUGGCCUCACCUACCAUGUGCACGACCUCAUUGGGGCCCAGCUAGUGGACUGCAUCUCUACCACUUCAGGAACCCUCCUCCGCCUGCCAGAGACAUGAAGAUUCUGCUCAUCAUUGCUCAGCUCCUCAGAGUGGGCCGGGAGGGGACUAGAAGAGCUGCAUGAUGGUGGCUGAGACAGGGUCACCUUGGGAAGGCUUGGGAGCCAGGAUGAGUGUCGGGCUCUCGUGUGUGCAAAAGGUCAGAUGUGACUGCUGCUGUUUGCCUGGUUUCUGACCCAGUGGUGGGGUUUGAGCAAUGCUUCUCUGCCCUUCCAUGGAAAGUGGAACCAGAAAUGGUGCCAAGGCUGUGGCUGUUCCCUUUCGUGUAAAAUGGUGCUGUUAUUACUCUGUCUUGAAAUAGGAAGGUGGGAUUUCUGGGGAGGCUGGUGAAGGAGGGCAGGGUUCUUUUCUCUACGUGUCAUGUUAAAAUUGCCAAAUAAAGUACCUCUGCCUGUGAU
rnacentral:lncRNA from 1 species